rnacentral:rRNA from 1 species
UACGUAGGUGACAAGCGUUGUCCGGAUUUACUGGGCGUAAAGAGCGCGCAGGCGGUCGAUCAAGUCGAGUGUGAAAGCCCCCGGCUCAACUGGGGAGGGUCAUUCGAUACUGAUCGACUCGAAGGCAGGAGAGGGUAGUGGAAUUCCCGGUGUAGCGGUGAAAUGCGUAGAGAUCGGGAGGAAGGCCGGUGGCGAAGGCGGCGCUCUGGAACGUUACUGACGCUGAGACACGAAAGCGUGGGGAGCAAACAGG